rnacentral:rRNA from 1 species
AUUGUAGUCAUAUGCUUGUCUCAAAGAUUAAGCCAUGCAUGUCUAAGUAUAAACCGCUUGUGCCGCAAGGUGCAAAACGGGUGAAACUGCGAAUGGCUCAUUAAAUCAGCAAUCGUUUAUUUGAUUGUGCGCUUUUGUGGUGUUUGGCUGAUGGGUUCGCCUGUUGGUCAAAGUCCUCAAAUGGCUGCAUGGAUAACCGUGGUAAUUCAAGAGCUAAUACAUGAACAAAAAACAAAGGGUCGACUUUUCGCAAGAGAGGAAGAUCAGCAUUUAUUAGAUACAAACGCAAAACCGGAACUCUAUCGCAAGGUAGAUACCAAUAAGUUGGCGAUUCAUAAUGACUGCGCGAAUCGCAUGGCCCUCGCUUUCGGGCGAGAUUUGGCUGGCGAUGGAUCAUUCAAAUUUCUGACCCAUCAACUUUCGAUGGUUGGAUCGAGGCCAACCAUGGUGAUGACGGGUGACGGAGAAUUGGGGUUCGAUUCCGGAGAGGGAGCCUGGAGAAACGGCUCCCACUUCCAAGGAAGGCAGCAGGCG